rnacentral:lncRNA from 14 species
AUGAGUAAGCCCCUCUCCAGUGAACCUGAAGACAAAGAUAUCAGAAGACAAGUAAGCCUCCAGGUGACUACAUUUGGAAGCUGGGGAGCAGAGUACCUCCCCAGGAGGAUGCACAGCACUACCCCCAUCAGCACUGCUGUAACUGUGAGCUUGCCAUCUACUCUGCAAGCAGGGAAGAAGAAAGAUAGAGGGAGAGAGACAACCCCACCACACAAUCCUGGAGCUCAACCUGGCAGUGAAUGUCCCGUGUCCAGGCAGCCAGCCGUCCUUGCUGUGCAGACAGGGAGCACCCAGCUGCAGAAAGAGAUAAGCUGUUGGCCAGCAUGGUGUUUAUCUCCCUAGCAGUGAUGGCAGCGGGCGAGAACAGGGUGUCCUUGACCCUGGCACACAAAGCUGCCUGCAGCCAAGCAGGGGACUGCUACCUCAAUUACAGGUCCUAUGGGAGCAGCACACAGCGGAGGGGCUUCAGCCCCCAGCCAGCAGCCACACCUCCGGUCAGUGUUGGGGUGAUGCCACCUUAUGUCUCUGAUGCCUGGAUGUCUCACAAGGGCACAAGCUGCUGAAUCCAGGAGUGAUGGGCAGUAAGCAGCAGUGCUGUGCUGCUGGAGGCAGGAGGAAGAUGAAGGGAGGCACUAUGUGUGUGGCUUUUCUUUAUCUUCCCCUGGCUUUUUUUUCCCCCAUUUUCUUGAAAAAAAAA